CAAGUCGAACGCGUCUCCGUUAAUGAUUUUAGGUGCUUGCACUUGAAAGAUUUAACAUUGAGACGAGUGGCGAACUGGUGAGUAACACGUGGGUAACCUGCCCUUGAAGUAGGGGAUAACACUUGGAAACAGGUGCUAAUACCGUAUAACAACCAAAACCACCUGGUUUUGGUUUAAAAGACGGCUUCGGCUGUCACUUUAGGAUGGACCCGCGGCGCAUUAGCUUGUUGGUAAGGUAACGGCUUACCAAGGCGAUGAUACGUAGCCGACCUGAGAGGGUAAUCGGCCACAUUGGGACUGAGACACGGCCCAAACUCCUACGGGAGGCAGCAGUAGGGAAUCUUCCACAAUGGACGAAAGUCUGAUGGAGCAACGCCGCGUGAGUGAUGAAGGGUUUCGGCUCGUAAAACUCUGUUGUUGGAGAAGAACAGGUGUCAGAGUAACUGUUGACAUCUUGACGGUAUCCAACCAGAAAGCCACGGCUAACUACGUGCCAGCAGCCGCGGUAAUACGUAGGUGGCAAGCGUUGUCCGGAUUUAUUGGGCGUAAAGCGAGCGCAGGCGGUUUUUUAGGUCUGAUGUGAAAGCCUUCGGCUUAACCGGAGAAGUGCAUCGGAAACCGGGAGACUUGAGUGCAGAAGAGGACAGUGGAACUCCAUGUGUAGCGGUGAAAUGCGUAGAUAUAUGGAAGAACACCAGUGGCGAAGGCGGCUGUCUGGUCUGUAACUGACGCUGAGGCUCGAAAGCAUGGGUAGCGAACAGGAUUAGAUACCCUGGUAGUCCAUGCCGUAAACGAUGAGUGCUAAGUGUUGGAGGGUUUCCGCCCUUCAGUGCUGCAGCUAACG
rnacentral:rRNA from 1 species